rnacentral:rRNA from 1 species
GCUCAGAUUGAACGCUGGCGGCAGGCUUAACACAUGCAAGUCGAGCGGAAACGAAGGUAGCUUGCUACCAGACGUCGAGCGGCGGACGGGUGAGUAAUGCUUAGGAAUCUACCGAGUAGUGGGGGAUAGCCAUUGGAAACGAUGAUUAAUACCGCAUAUAUCCUACGGGGGAAAGCAGGGGACCUUCGGGCCUUGCGCUAUUCGAUGAGCCUGAGUGAGAUUAGCUAGUUGGUGGGGUAAAGGCCUACCAAGGCGACGAUCUCUAGCUGGUCUGAGAGGAUGAUCAGCCACACUGGGACUGAGACACGGCCCAGACUCCUACGGGAGGCAGCAGUGGGGAAUAUUGCACAAUGGACGAAAGUCUGAUGCAGCCAUGCCGCGUGUGUGAAGAAGGCCUUCGGGUUGUAAAGCACUUUCAGCGAGGAGGAAAGGUCAGUAAGUAAUAUUUGCUGGCUGUGACGUUACUCGCAGAAGAAGCACCGG